UGGACUUUGUGGAAAUACACAACAGCAAAUAGAAAACAAAGGACUAGAUGAACUUUGUGGAAAUACACAACAUCCAACAGAAAACAAAGGACUAGAUGAACUUUGUGGAAGAACAAAGCAGUCAAUAGAAAACGAAGAACUAGAUGAACUUUAUGGUGGUAACGAUUAUCUGCAACUACAUAUAACAUUAAGGAACGACGUCAUAAAUGCAAAAUGUAUUCUUAAUGAAUGGAAACAACAACACGAGAAAGUUAUAGAGUAUAGAGCACAGGAAAGUGGUCCGGAUCAUGAAAAGUGUUUCAGGGUAAAUGUAUAUGUUGAUGGUGCACUGUGUGGAACUGGUAUUGGGUCCAGAAAGAAGGAAGCACAACAGCGUGCAGCUAUUUCUGCUGUUCAACAACUCGGGAUUAAUACAGAUUUUAUUACUUUUACCAGAAACGGAAUUGAAGCUGAUCCGAAAUCACUGCUAAAUGAGAAAUUACAGAAGCGCCAUAUCCGGAAUAUCAAAUACACAGAAAUAUCAAGGACAGGUUCUGCUCACGAGC